CUCCCAUCCUCCGCCCUCCCCCUCCACUUUCUCCCUUUCCCCUCUCCACUCCUCUCUUUCCCCUUCGCUCACUUCCUUCUCUGCCCGCCCGCCCGCUCUGGCUGGCUGGGCGGCUCGGGCGCGGGUGUGCAAGGCGGAGCGGUGGGUGGUGUGGGCUCAACCACCUAGGAGGACGGAGCGGGGGCGGCGGGGCUGGGGAGCUGGGCGGAGCCACCGAGCCCCCACGUCGAUGCUGUCACACACUCCACACCCCCACCCUGUGACCGGGGCAGGAGUGGGAACGCCCGGGGUUGCAAAACAAACCGCUUAGGUGUCCUGGCAACACGGGGCACAUGCGCCUCUCCAGUAUAAGACCCACCACGAACCACCUGCCGCUACUCAGGGCAAGACUGAGACGGGGCGGAGACGGUCAUCCCUACUGAUUCUAGUCAUCGGAAAAUGUAUGUAAAUGCAUCACGUGCAUGCAGUACCCCAGGUGGUCAGAAGAGGGCGUGCGAUCUCCCGCCAUUGGAGUUACAAAUGGUUGUAAUGCCUGAAUGCCGGUGGGUGCUGGAGGGGAAGCUUCGUUGUCAGGACACCUACGCGGUUUGUUUUCCAACCCCUGACUCUGGAAAAACCAGCAUCCUAGCUACUCGGGAGGCUGAGGCAAGAGGACGGACUGGCCAAGGUCGGCUUGGAUUACACAGUUCCGGAAAAGAUGCAUAUGAUCACCCAGAAAAGCGGGCGUCCUGCUGGACUGUCCCCACGUAUGAGGCCAGCGGUUCUGAGCACGGGAUGGAAAAGGACUGGGUCAAGGUCACCACCAGUUUAUGGAAAGAAUUGCGAGAAGGAUCCACAGCCCAGCGUGUCUGCUGUGUGGCGCACAGAACUUUGUAAAAGUAAACGCCAAUACUGUAAAUAAAUAUUUACAUCUUCCGAAGGAAAACAACAAGAUAGGCUGAACAGUAAAGGCUGAAGUUAAGUAGAGGCCAAGCCAGUCGGACCGACCGGAAGAUAGGCAGCCGGCUGAAGCGGCGGGGAUGAGUAAACACAGUGCGGGGGGACAUUUAAAUGGAACCAGUUGGAAUCGUGUAAACUGGGACAGACUCCACCCGGGGCCUCCCCGGCACACAAAACCGCACGUCCAAACGAUUGGUCUUAGUCUCUUGACAAGUGCGGUUCACUCCACCGACCCCGACCCCCCAACCCCCACCCCAAGGUUGCGAGAAAGGCUGAGGUAAUCUGAAGAUUGGCUUGGAGGUGGCCCUUAAGGGUCAAAGGGAAGUGUGGCGGGUGGGCAACCAGGACGGAUCCCAGAGAGAAGCUCCGAGCCCAGGACAAAGACGACCCUGGAAGUUGCAACCACGUCCCGCUUCCUCAACAAGAUUGAAGGGGCUCUGCAGGGUCCAGACCCUGUAAGCACACUUCGCCCAGAUUUCCCACACAACUCCGGUGGAUGCCCCCAACGGUCCUCACCACCUCCGAGCGACUCUCAGGCUCUGCGAUUCUUUUUUUUUUUUUUUUUUUUUUUUUGCACACACUGUUGCCUUUUCUCCAGAGAAGCCAUUAAAACGUGCAGUCGCAGGUUUACCCCUUAUGAUCAAUCUGGAUUUGAAAGAGCGUACCCCUAAUUGAAAUGGGGGUGGGGGGAAAGCAUGGCAGCAGCAGGCCUGGAGGGCUCUGUGACACCGAGGUCCGCUCGAAUGACCGCUAGGGGGCAGCAGAAGGCAGCGAGAAAGUCGCGGGAGAGCCUGUGCUUCCCCCCCCCCCUUCCUACCCCC
rnacentral:lncRNA from 1 species